GCCUGGGUGGCUCAGUCGGUUAAGUGUCUGACUUCAGCUCAGGUCAUGAUCUCAUGGUUUGUGAGUUAGAGCCCCAUAUCAGGCU
rfam:Felis catus isolate Cinnamon breed Abyssinian chromosome A2, whole genome shotgun sequence.